rnacentral:rRNA from 1 species
AGCGAACGCUGGCAGCAGGCCUAACACAUGCAAGUCGAACGAACUCUUCGGAGUUAGUGGCGGACGGGUGAGUAACACGUGGGAACGUGCCUUUUGGUUCGGAAUAACUCAGGGAAACUUGUGCUAAUACCGAAUGUGCCCUUCGGGGGAAAGAUUUAUCGCCAUUAGAGCGGCCCGCGUCUGAUUAGCUAGUUGGUGAGGUAACGGCUCACCAAGGCGACGAUCAGUAGCUGGUCUGAGAGGAUGACCAGCCACACUGGGACUGAGACACGGCCCAGACUCCUACGGGAGGAAGCAGUGGGGAAUCUUGCGCAAUGGGCGAAAGCCUGACGCAGCCAUGCCGCGUGAAUGAUGGAGGUCUUAGGAUUGUAAAAUUCUUUCACCGGGGACGAUAAUGACGGUACCCGGAGAAGAAGCCCCGGCUAACUUCGUG